GGGUAGGUACCAAAGCGGUCAAAUGGGGCUGACUGUAAAUCAGCUGGCUUCGGCCUUCGGGGGUUCGAAUCCCUCCCUGCCCA
rfam:Parcubacteria bacterium GW2011_GWB1_43_6 TV98_C0010, whole genome shotgun sequence.